ACGGAGGGUGCAAGCGUUGUUCGGAAUUACUGGGCGUAAAGGGCGCGUAGGUGGUUGUGUAAGUUGGAUGUGAAAUCCCCAGGCUCAACUUGGGAACCGCAUCUGAUACUGCAUGACUAGAGUACAGCAGAGGGAAACGGAAUUCCUGGUGUAGAGGUGAAAUGCGUAGAUAUCAGGAGGAACACCGGUGGCGAAGGCGGUUUCCUGGGCUGAUACUGACACUGAGGCGCGAAAGCGUGGGUAGCAAACAG
rnacentral:rRNA from 1 species